UAUCGAGAGGGACAACGUGCAGGGCCCGU
rnacentral:sRNA from 1 species